CAAACCCCAUAGGGGACACCUGGGGGGUGACAGUGCCCCAUAGGGGACACCUGGGGGGGUAACAGCCCUAUAGGUGACGUCUGAGGGGGCUGAGGUGACAUCAGGGGGGUGACAGCCCCAUAGGGGACACUUGGGGGGGUGACAUCCCCAUAGAUGCCACUUGGGGGGUGACAAACCCCAUAAGUGACAUCUGGGGGGCGGUGACAGCCCUAUAGGUGCCACCUGGGGGGGUGAGGUGACAUCUGGGGGGGACAUCCCCAUAGGUGACACUUGGGGGGGGUGACAGCCCCAUAAGUGACCUCUGGGGGAGGGUGACAGCCCCAUAUGUGACCUCUGGGGGAGGGUGACAGCCCCAUAAGUGAGCUCUGGGGGAGGGUGACAGCCCCAUAUGUGAUCUCUGGGGGGGGUGGCAGCCCCAUAGGUGCCACCUGGGGGGGUGAGGUGACCUCUGGGGGGGGGGACAGCCCUAUAGGUGACAUCUGGGGGGGUGAGGCGACAUCUGGGGGGGGGACAGCCCAUAGGUGCCACCUGGGGGGGUGAGGUGACAUCUGGGGGGGGUGGCAGCCCCAUAGGUGCCACCGGGGGGGGUGAG
ensembl:lncRNA